rnacentral:rRNA from 1 species
GAUGAACGCUAGCGGCAGGCCUAACACAUGCAAGUCGAGGGGCAGCGGGAGUAGCAAUACUUGCCGGCGACCGGCGCACGGGUGAGUAACGCGUAUGCAAUCUACCUUUUACUGUGGAAUAGCUCAGAGAAAUCUGGAUUAAUACCGCAUAACACUUUGAAAUGGCAUCAUAAUGAAGUUAAAACUACGGUGGUAAAAGAUGAGCAUGCGUGACAUUAGCUAGUUGGUGAGGUAACGGCUCACCAAGGCGACGAUGUCUAAGGGGUCUGAGAGGAUGAUCCCUCACACUGGUACUGAGACACGGACCAGACUCCUACGGGAGGCAGCAGUGAGGAAUAUUGGUCAAUGGGGGCAACCCUGAACCAGCCAUGCCGCGUGAAGGAAGACUGCCCUAAGGGUUGUAAACUUCUUUUGUACUAGGGUAAACUUGAUCUUGCGAGGUCAACUGAAAGUAUAGUACGAAUAAGCAUCGGCUAACUCCGUGCCAGCAGCCGCGGUAA